UACGUAGGGAGCAAGCGUUGUCCGGAAUCAUUGGGCGUAAAGCGCGCGUAGGUGGCUUCGUAAGUCCGUUGUGAAAGUCAAAGGCUCAACCUUUGAAAGCCGAUGGAUACUGCGGAGCUAGAGUACGGAAGAGGCGAGUGGAAUUCCUGGUGUAGCGGUGGAAUGCGCAGAUAUCAGGAGGAACACCAAUAGCGAAGGCAGUUCGCUGGGACGUUACUGACACUGAGGCGCGAAAGCAUGGGGAGCGAACAGGA
rnacentral:rRNA from 1 species